rnacentral:rRNA from 1 species
AUUGAACGCUGGCGGCAGGCCUAACACAUGCAAGUCGAACGGUAACAGGAAGCAGCUUGCUGCUUUGCUGACGAGUGGCGGACGGGUGAGUAAUGUCUGGGAAACUGCCCGAUGGAGGGGGAUAACUACUGGAAACGGUAGCUAAUACCGCAUAACGUCGCAAGACCAAAGAGGGGGACCUUAGGGCCUCUUGCCAUCGGAUGUGCCCAGAUGGGAUUAGCUAGUAGGUGGGGUAACGGCUCACCUAGGCGACGAUCCCUAGCUGGUCUGAGAGGAUGACCAGCCACACUGGAACUGAGACACGGUCCAGACUCCUACGGGAGGCAGCAGUGGGAAAUAUUGCACAAUGGGCGCAAGCCUGAU